UACGGAGGGGGCUAGCGUUGUUCGGAAUUACUGGGCGUCAAGCGCACGUAGGCGGCUUUGUAAGUUAGAGGUGAAAGCCCGGGGCUCAACUCCGGAAUUGCCUUUAAGACUGCAUCGCUAGAAUUGUGGAGAGGUAAGUGGAAUUCCGAGUGUAGAGGUGAAAUUCGUAGAUAUUCGGAAGAACACCAGUGGCGAAGGCGACUUACUGGGCACAUAUUGACGCUGAGGUGCGAAAGCGUGGGGAGCAAACAGG
rnacentral:rRNA from 1 species